rnacentral:rRNA from 1 species
CUUAGAUGAGCCUAUAUUAGAUUAGCUAGUUGGUGGAGUAAUAGCCUACCAAGGCAAUGAUCUAUAGCUGAUCUGAGAGGAUGAUCAGCCACACUGGAACUGAGAUACGGUCCAGACUCCUACGGGAGGCAGCAGUGGGGAAUAUUGGACAAUGGGCGAAAGCCUGAUCCAGCCAUGCCGCAUGAGUGAAGAAGGCCUUUGGGUUGUAAAGCUCUUUUAGUGAGGAAGAUAAUGACGGUACUCACAGAAGAAGUCCUGGCUAACUCCGUGCCAGCAGCCGCGGUAAUACGGAGAGGGCUAGCGUUAUUCGGAAUUACUGGGCGUAAAGGGCGCGUAGGCUGAUUAAUAAGUUAAAAGUGAAAUCCCGAGGCUUAACCUUGGAAUUGCUUUUAAAACUAUUAAUCUAGAGAUUGAAAGAGGAUAGAGGAAUUCCUGAUGUAGAGGUAAAAUUCGUAAAUAUUAGGAGGAACACCAGUGGCGAAGGCGUCUAUCUGGUUCAAAUCUGACGCUGAAGCGCGAAGGCGUGGGGAGCAAACAGGAUUAGAUACCCUGGUAGUCCACGCUGUAAACGAUGAAUGUUAAAUAUGGGAAG